rnacentral:tRNA from 1 species
AGCAGAGUGGUGCAGUGGAAGCGUGCUGGACCCAUAAGGCAGAGGUUGAUGGAUGGAAACCAUCCUCUGCUA